CAUGCCGUGUGUGUUGAGCAUCGCACUCCUCCUAUUUAACAAGCCGCCGCAGCCGCGCACAGCAGCAGGCGGGCCGCGCCGCUGCGCACAACAUGUAUGGCCGCAACCGAAAAAACUCGCGCGCGCGCGCGGAAUUCAUAUCGCUCAAAGUUUAGGACAACUUCUUAUACUAUAUCCACGCACAAUAUGAUCGAUUAUUACAUCUUGCCAACUGCAAUUCCGUG
rnacentral:lncRNA from 1 species